rnacentral:rRNA from 1 species
UACGAAGGGGGCUAGCGUUGCUCGGAAUGACUGGGCGUAAAGGGCGCGUAGGCGGUUUGUACAGUCAGGCGUGAAAUUCCUGGGCUCAACCUGGGGGCUGCGUUUGAUACGUAUGAGCUUGAGUUCGGAAGAGGGUCGUGGAAUUCCCAGUGUAGAGGUGAAAUUCGUAGAUAUUGGGAAGAACACCGGUGGCGAAGGCGGCGACCUGGUCCGAUACUGACGCUGAGGCGCGAAAGCGUGGGGAGCAAACAGG